GAGGUGUAAGUAUAGUGAUAUAUUAAGCUGACCAAUACUAAUAAAUCGAGGGCUUAACCA
rnacentral:rRNA from 1 species